rnacentral:rRNA from 1 species
AUUAGAUACCCGGGUAGUCCACGCCAACCGCAAGGAGGCAGACGCCCACGGUAUGACCGAUGAUUGGGGUG